UUGAGAUCUGAGAAGAGGAAGGGGUAGAGAGAGAAAAGGAAGGAACGGUCGGCGGAGAGAAGAAGGGAGAAAGCUUGACGCCGGCAACGGAAGGCGAAGUGAUUCGCCGGCUAAGAGAGAAAUCUGAGAAGAGAGGGGAGGACGCCGACGCCGGCGAAGAGAGAAGAAGAGGAUUUUUAGAGAGAAGGGAGAGGUUGCUGCCGCUAGAGAGAGAAAGUGAGGAAUAAAAGUGAAGAGAGAAAGAGAGAAAAGAGGGUUAAAUACCUAGGUUUCGGGGGCAAAACGGCGUCGUUUCAGAGAGGCAAGCAGAAGCUGGAAGGACUAGGCCAAACGGCGUCGUUUUGAGCGGCUUUGCAGGCAUC
rnacentral:lncRNA from 1 species